rnacentral:rRNA from 1 species
UACGGAGGGUGCAAGCGUUAUCCGGAUUCACUGGGUUUAAAGGGUGCGUAGGUGGGCAGGUAAGUCAGUGGUGAAAUCUCCGGGCUUAACCCGGAAACUGCCAUUGAUACUAUCUGUCUUGAAUAUCGUGGAGGUGAGCGGAAUAUGUCAUGUAGCGGUGAAAUGCUUAGAUAUGACAUAGAACACCAAUUGCGAAGGCAGCUCGCUACACGAAUAUUGACUCUGAGGCACGAAAGCGUGGGGAUCAAACAGG